UACGGGGGGGGCAAGCGUUGUUCGGAAUUACUGGGCGUAAAGGGCUCGUAGGCGGCCAACUAAGUCAGACGUGAAAUCCCCAGGCUUAACCUGGGAACUGCGUCUGAUACUGGAUGGCUUGACUUCGGGAGAGGGAUGCAGAAUUCCAGGUGUAGCGGUGAAAUGCGUAGAUAUCUGGAGGAAUACCGGUGGCGAAGGCGGCAUCCUGGACCGAGAUUGACGCUGAUGAGCGAAAGCUAGGGGAGCAAACGGG
rnacentral:rRNA from 1 species